AUUAACCUUUGCAUAUAAAAUUGAAUUGUGGACAACUUCCAUGAGCAUUGGCAAAUAUAUUAAGAAUUUGCAAGAACUAGAAGUAGAAGGCAUACAAUGGUAGUCAAGAUUUCUUCCCUCCUAAUCAUUUGCUGCUUUGUCCUGGUUGUAGUCCUCCACACCAUUCCGCAGGGUCUGGCUUCAAUAAGGAUCCUAGAGGAUAUUCCUCAAAACGGUACGACUAACAACAAUUCGACUGGAUACAACAAAAGCAAAGGACCAAGCAAAACUGGAGUCCAUGGAAGUGAAUCGCCCCAUGCCGGUUCAGCCACUGGCGGUAGUUCUCCUUCUGGGACAGUCGUAAUGCCACCUCCAACCGCAGUCACUAGGGUGGAAUAUGGAUCUGGUGGAAAUGGAAAUAGUCAAGAUGCAGGUUAUGGCGGCGGUGGAGGUGGAAACCAACCAUCCACUCAAUACAACUAUUCCCCACCGGAGCACGAUUAUAGUCCCCCAGACUACAACUAGGUCUAGUUAUAAUUUUAUUGUGCAACAAUGGUGCUGCCCCCGUACCAAGUUGUGUAUGAAGCCAUUUUUCAAUAUAUGUUGCUACAUUUCUAUGAAUACGAUCGACCUUUUAACUUGCUGGGUACUCUGUGGAGAAUGAGAAUAUGUCAUCACUCCUGGGAUUGUUUUUCUGGCAAGAAUUUUCCGG
rnacentral:misc_RNA from 1 species